rnacentral:snRNA from 1 species
UGAUGUGAGGGCGAUCUGGCUGUGACAUCUGUCACCCCAUUGAUCGCCAGGGUUGAUUUGGCUGAUCUGGCUGGCUAGGCGGGUGUCCCCUUCCUCCCUCACCGCUCCAUGUGCGGCACGCUCGGUGGAAGAGGACGACGUCCCAGGUAUAGAAGGAGUGUACCGAGGUCUCCAGUCUUCGGUCCCGGGUAUACGAUAGCUGCGCUCCCCUGCUAGAACCUCCAAACAAGCAAAAAAAAUUAGAUUUCUAGUGAAAAGUACAUUACUUUUUCUCAUUUUGGUGCUCUAAGUUACAAUGUUUUUGACA